GACGAACGCUGGCGGCGUGCCUAAUACAUGCAAGUAGAACGCUGAAGGAGGAGCUUGCUUCUCUGGAUGAGUUGCGAACGGGUGAGUAACGCGUAUGUAACCUGCCUGGUAGUGGGGGAUAACUAUGGGAAACGAUAGCUAAUACCGCAUAAUAGCAGUUGUUGCAUGAUAACUGUUUGAAAUUUGCAAUUGCACCGCUACCAGAUGGACCUGCGUUGUAUUAGCUAGUUGGUGGGGUAACGGCUCACCAAGGCGACGAUACAUAGCCGACCUGAGAGGGUGAUAGGCCACACUGGGACUGAGACACGGCCCAGACUCCUACGGGAGGCAGCAGUAGGGAAUCUUAGGCAAUGGACGGAAGUCUGACAGAGCAACGCCGCGUGAGUGAAGAAGGUUUUCGGAUCGUAAAGAUCUGUUGUAAGAGAAGAACGAGUGUGAGAGUGGAAAGUUCACACUGUGACGGUAUCUUACCAGAAAGGGACGGCUAACUACGUG
rnacentral:rRNA from 1 species